rnacentral:SRP_RNA from 1 species
GCCGGGCGUGGUGGCGCACGCCUUUAAUCCCAGCACUCGGGAGGCAGAGGCAGGCGUAUUUCUGAGUUCGAGGCCAGCCUGGUCUACAAAGUGAGCUCCAGGACAGCCAGGGCUAUACAGAGAAACCCUGUCUCGAAAAACCAAAAAAAAAAAAAAAAAAAAUAACUUUUGGUUGUAGUUGUUGUUUUUGUUUUUGUUUUUUCGAGACAGGGUUUCUCUGUGUGGCCCUGGCUGUCCUGGAACUCACUUUGUAGACCAGGCUGGCCUUGAACUCAGAA